rnacentral:rRNA from 1 species
UACAGAGGUCUCAAGCGUUGUUCGGAUUCAUUGGGCGUAAAGGGUGCGUAGGCGGCGCGGUAAGUCGGGUGUGAAAUCUUGGAGCUUAACUCCGAAACUGCAUUCGAUACUGCCGUGCUUGAGGACUGGAGAGGAGACUGGAAUUUACGGUGUAGCGGUGAAAUGCGUAGAUAUCGUAAGGAAGACCAGUGGCGAAGGCGGGGUCUCUGGACAGUUCCUGACGCUGAGGCACGAAGGCCCAGGGGGAGCAAAACGGG